AUUGAACGCUGGCGGCAUGCCCUACACAUGCAAGUCGAACGGUAACAGGUUAAGCUGACGAGUGGCGAACGGGUGAGUAAUAUAUCGGAACGUGCCCAGUCGGGGGGGAUAACGUAGCGAAAGCUACGCUAAUACCGCAUACGAUCUACGGAUGAAAGCGGGGGAUCGCAAGACCUCGCGCGAUUGGAGCGGCCGAUAUCAGAUUAGGUUGUUGGUGAGGUAAAAGCUCACCAAGCCUGCGAUCUGUAGCUGGUCUGAGAGGACGACCAGCCACACUGGAACUGAGACACGGACCAGACUCCUACGGGAGGCAGCAGUGGGGAAUUUUGGACAAUGGACGCAAGUCUGAUCCAGCAAUGCCGCGUGCAGGACGAAGGCCUUCGGGUUGUAAACUGCUUUUGUACGGAACGAAACGGUGAGCUCUAAUACAGUUUGCUAAUGACGGUACCGUAAGAAUAAGCACCGGCUAACUACGUGCCAGCCGCCGCAGUAA
rnacentral:rRNA from 1 species